rnacentral:rRNA from 1 species
AUGCUAGGAAUGUGGUGGUACUUCUCCGGAGGUGCAGCGGUUGCCUGUCUUUGUCGCUUAGUUGAUCUGCCGAUGUCGGCACUUGUUUCUCUUUUCUUUCUCUUGUUUUUCCUUUUGAGCUUGGUUGUGCUGCAGCCCAGCGAGUUGGAUGUAUCGGUUGGAUGCUUUAUAAUGAGGUGCCUAAACAUGUCCGGCGCGGUUACUUUAGUGCCUAAACUUGUAAAAUGUCAAAAACUGGUGCCACAACUUGUCCAUUUGGUUCAUAUACGGUGCCUUGCUCGUACGCCGCCGUAUUUGCUUGUCACGUGGCCUGACAGCUGGCGUGUGGCCCACGGGUCAGUGGGUGGGAGUGUAGGAAGAGUUGAGUCGGACGAGACCAGCGGUUAUUUUCCAGAAAACCCCCGGAGCUUUUAUUAA